GUUGGAGUUGGAAGAGGAGCUAGAGAAGCUAGGGCUAGCAAAGGACAGGCAGGAUCUGUGUGAUCGCCUGGAAGCACGGAACGCCCUGAGAGAGACAGACAGGUGGAAGGUGUUGGACGACUGGAGCAUAUAGGAGGUCGAGCAUGGAUAUUUAACUGCAGUUCUGUGAGUAUCCCACCUUAACCAUGAAGAUGAACUGCAAACUGUAAGUCAUUAGUUUCUCAUUACUCUUGGGCACAUUGUAUUUUGGCUUCCUGGUGAGUUAACCCGUUACCUGAAGGUUGAUCUGUGUAGUAAAGAUGUUUUAUUGGUUCAUGGGUUAUUUAGGUGUUUGGUUUAUGUUGGUUUUAAUGAUUUGUUAAAAUGGUUACAGGCUCCAAGUUAUUGUUGUAAGAUUGAGUAAUGGGUUAGGUUCUGAUAUCUUCAGUCUUCUUUCCAGUUACUCUCCUGAGCUCUGCAUCUUCAUCACAAGAGUGUUGCUUUACUGAUGAGCGUGUGGUCUGAGUGAGCAGAGGUGCAUACUGGGAUACAGAGCUGUCUGAAGUCUACAGGUCUGUAGACGCGCCCCCUCAGGGGAAACCGAGCGUUUGAGAAACCGUCGUGACGGCAGUGACAUGGACUGGAAUGUUCUUAAAGAUGGAGACAGGGAUUCAGAAGGAGAAACACCAGGGGGAGAUGAGGGGGCUCCUCAUCUCAACGAUUAAAACACAACUUCAAUCUGACACAGAGAACCAUGGAACACAUUCAACAGUCCCCUCCAGGCAUCCUGACUCCUCAGGAGCAGUUUCAUUUCCAAGAAGGUCUUAUUUGGGGCCAUACCAAGAUGGAUCCUGCUCCUCAAGAGCCACCCCCCUCCACUGGGUGGUCUUCUGAACAGAUGACCUUCUUCCUGUCCUCAGGCUGACUAAAGCUGCACCGUUUGCAUAUGUGAAUGCCCCUCAUUCAGGAAACCACUGGACUACAAAGACAUGAAUCAACCUGGGACAUAUUUUGGAGAGCAUAAUCCAUCACCAAUGUGGGACGCCACUGAAGAAUGUUGUACAUCAUUUACGUCUCUGGAGACAUUGGUUGUUCUGUUCUGGGUGCCCUGGCAGGAGAGCUGGGGUUGGAUGAUGGAAUAUUAUUUGGCAUGAGGUUUUUACCCUGCAUGAUUGUUUGGCCUUUUGUGGCUCAGUGGUGUGUGGGUUUGGGUUUGACAUGAGAUGGAUGAUUUUUGAGCAUCGCUAGGGUUCUACUGUGUGUGUCUCCCACUCACACCUGGCAUGGGGUUCUACGUGCCUGUCCUGGGUUCUGUGUGUGUGUGUGUGUGUGUCCGGCUUGCUUUGACAGUUAUAAGGUUCAUACGGGGGUCUGUGUGAUUGGCUUGGGAUAUUGGAAUGGUCGACUAAAUCAUACCUGAUGGACGGCCACAUGUUUACUUGAGGGCCUCCAGUAGACAUGAAGACCCCAGAGGGACGCUGCGGAGCGAUGUCCAACACACUGGGCAGGAAGGAGAGUAUCCAACUCAAGUGUAAAAGGAUGCAAGCGACGUGUUCAGAUCAGUGACUUCAAACUAGGACUACACCAAUCAGGAUCAAUGGAGGAUGGACACCUAAAGGCAUUCCACAAGGAGAGUCUGAUGUUGGAAAGGGUCCUCAAUGGAUAUUCAAGAUGUCCUUCAGACCUGCAAGGAGACGGCUCUUCCUACCUGGCUGGAUUGAUGGAGAGCCCUGUGGAUCUUGUCUUGCUCUCAGUUGCAUGUCUGCUCAGGCUGAACUGUAUUUGUUUCGGACAGGACCAGCUGAACGAUUGGUUCCCUUAAAUCAGAACCAAUCCGGGAACUCCAACUAGUGCGCUCUUCAAGCUGAAGUUGUGCUCUUCAGCUGAGGCGGUAAGGAAACCUUCACUGGGGCUUCAAGGUGUAAAGAGGAGAAUGUUUCAAAGUGUUCCAUGGUACUCUGAAGAGGAACGUUGUUGUGUUCCACUGGCUGAGAGGAAGAACCCUCACAUCUUCCUCUUGGCCUUUCUCCUCUGAGAAUCCUGGCGCCAUCUUGAAGGAUUUUCAAGCUCAUGUAACUGAUGUCACGACAGAUUCUCAAGCACUUGGUUUCUCCUGAGGGGCGUGUCUAUAGAACUGAAGACUUCAGACAGCACUGUAUCCCAGCAUGCAUCUCUCCUCACUCAGACCACACUCCCGUGAGUAGGAUGCAACACUAGUGAUGGAGAUGUAGAGUUUUAUAAGUAACGAGGGAGUAGACAGAGGUGAUUAGAACACAAUGGCAUGUCAAGUCUUUAAACCAUGAAGAUGGUUGGAUAGUUCAGGAAUUGGGCUUCUUUUUAUUAUAGGCAGUCCUUUCACUCGGAUGCCCACUUCUCACUGGACCUGUACAUUUGUUGGCUGGCUGGCAUGAUUUGCUGUUGGUGAUGAGUCGGUCAGGGUGACGUUGCAGGGCUAUGGUCGGCUCUCUGUGAGCUCAACGUUUAUAUUUGCUUUGUAUGGUUUGUAUCCUGAAUAAUCUAGAUAAUUUUAAAAUGUAGGCACAGUUUUGUAUUGAAUGAUUCCAGGAUUUUAGGUUUAAAGUUGUUGUGGGACGUACAUGGUAGUUUGGUUCUUCGUACGGUUUUGAGUGAUAUAACUUGUACACACUGGGUGCAUUAUAAUGUAAAGGUAUACUGUAUAGUAGUAAUUACCAACAGCAACAAACGGAUCUCCUCAAGGUAAGUCUGUUGGCUGUGUUGUAAUGAAGACCAUCUCUGGACUUCAGGAUCUUCCUCCGUUCAGCUCAAGGUGAGGCGCUGGUUCUGUUUUUUCUUUGGUUGGUGCCGGCUGGAAUGUUCGGAUUCCAGUCGGACGGUUUGUGCUUCCCGCCGUGGAAGGUUCUGAGUGUGGUAACCUGAUUUAGUCCUAAUGGUUAGCAUAGAAUGUUGUAGUCUUGACAACCAUAAGAAACCACCUGGCAGUUAGUUGGACGGGAGUCCCCUGAGGGAAUCUGGCGCAACGUUCUGGAUUGUAUUUGCGUAACCUCGAGCCGUUGCCAACGGAAACUAUUUUCCAUUGUUUCCAUUGGGAAUUGUUGACCCUUAUCUUAAACAACUUAGUUUGAUAUUAAAUACAUACUGACGCGUACGUCGUACAAUAUGUGGAUAAUUUCCAAUGGUUGCGCCGUAGUUUUAACGACGUUGACGUGACGGGACUCACGCUGCGUACAAAACGGCGUUCUACUUGCGGGCCCAAUUUUGACAUCAGUGAAGGCUGGAAAUCAUUUCAAGGUGGAAGACAAUUUGACAUUUCUUCAACGGAACCCAGCACCUAAAUAUGGCUGAGUAUAUUUGAUUUAAUAUCGAUACUGCUUGGUGUUCUUUGUUACUUCAGCUUUUGUACGUUCUAAAUAUUUGCUGUCAUUAAUUGCCACAGAAGUUAAACCCUACCCAAUGGAAUGACGUUAAACAACGACUUUGGUGCAGAGUUUACCAACUGGAUAAUAUCAAAGCUAAUAUAAUGGCCGUCCUUCCCACAUGUUACAGUAGAAGAUACUCUAGAACUGUACAAGGUUAAAAAAUGAACCUGUAGUUUGUCCCAAGGUGUCUGCCUCCUCACCCAGAGCAAGAGCUCCACCUCCUCACCCAGAGCCAGACCUCCACCUCCUGUCAGAAGUCCUCCAGAUCAGCUGAAAGGUGAGGCUGAGAGGCUGGGGACCGGAGGCUUGUGGUGCCAGGAUGGACCGGAGACUGAGGCUGGAGACCAGGGGCCUGCAGCACCGGACCAGAGGACCAGGAAUCCAUGGCUGAAGGAGCUGAUGGAGGAGCCGAGCUGGUGGAGGAGUCGUGCUGAAGGCCCUGCCUGGUGGAGGAGCUGGUGGAGGCCCUGCCUGGUGAAGGAUGUCUGUCGUGGGACCAGGACUCUGUCUGAGGAGAGCUGCUGGAGGAGCUGAGACGCUGGAGGACGACUAGGAAUCGACCGACAAGGAUUCCUCUUAAGUUUUUAUUUACUUACAUGGUUGACCUAACGGGAAAAAUACAGCUGUUACUUUGACAUGGGUUGACCAACUACCGCUGUGUUUUCUUACUAGAACGUGUUUCUGGAGCGGAGGCGAGCUGGUAGGGGAGCCGUGAAUCUGGAGGAUGACAUCACUCUACCAACAAGGAUUGUAAACCAGGACUCUGGCUGAGGAGAGCUGAUGGACGAGCCAAGACUCUGGAGGACGACAUCACUCUACCAACAAGGAUCCUCACCAGGAAUCUGGAGGACUGAUAGAGAAGCCGUACACCUGGAAGGCAAAUCCUGAGGACAACCAGGACUCUACCAUCAAGGACUCCUCACACACCUGAGCUGAACCUCACCUGAUCCUGUUUGGUCCGGGCAGACACACCUGAGCUGAACCCUACCUGAUCCUGUUUGGUCGGGGGUAGACACACCUGAGCUGAACCCUCCUUGAUCCUGACAUCCUGCUGGUCCCGUCACCUCGGUUCAUCUCCGCCUCGCCUCCAGAAGACCUGCUGAGCUCAGCAGUCUGAGGCUGAUGGAUCAAUGACCUCCAGUGGGAGUGAUCUUCUUGACCCCACAUACCAGGAAUCCAUGGCUGAAGGAGCUGAUGGAGGAGCCGUGCUGAAGGAGCUGAUGGAGGUGUCGUGCUGAAGGCCCUGCCUGGUGGAGGAGCUGGUGGAGGCCCUGCCUGGUGAAGGACGUCUGUCGUGGGAACGUGUUUCUGGAGCGGAGGCGAGCUGGUAGGGGAGCCGUGAAUCUGGAGGAUGACCAUCACUCUACCAACAAGGAUUACCAGGAAUCUGGAGGCCUGAUGGAGAAGCCGUACACCUGGAAGGCAAAUCCUGAGGACAACCAGGACUCUACCAUCAAGGACUCCUCACACACCUGAGCUGAACCCUACCUGAUCCUGUUUGGUCGGGGGUAGACACACCUGAGCUGAACCCGCCCUGAUCCUGACAUCCUGCUGGUCCCGUCUCCUCAGUUCAUCUGAGCCUCGUCCUCCAGAAGACCUGCUGAGCUCAGCAGUCUGAGACUGAUGGAUCAAUGACCUCCAGUGGGAGUGAUCUUCUUCACCCCACAUGUAACCGUGUGCUUCCACACGCCUUUCCCUUACGUCUGUCACUAACCUCACUACUUCACUACUCUCUACUGCUUCCUCUUCUUCUUCCUUCUCUGUGGUUCGAACCUUUACACUGAAGGCGCGUCUUCUCCCCUGAGAGGGUUCAGCGUUAGGGUUGAGAGUCAGGGUUUAGAGUCAGGGACAGACCUGGUCAGGGAGGACUGCUUUUACACAAACCUCUUCACUUGCUUUCGGAAUGGUGGUGACAUUUUGAAAAGAUUCAUUUGGGAGAAUGUUUUACUCUGCUUUCCCUUACAAAAUUGUAUUAAACUUCUGUCAAGUGUUUUUGUUAUUAA